CAUAUUUACUGCGAACUAAAGCUGUCUGCUAAAAAAAUCAAAACAAAAGAAAAUUACAAUGAAAGAAAUCUUUUUAUCUUUAAUCACGUUCAUAGCAUCCUUUUCCCUGGUUAUUCUCUUCAUUGCAAUUGGUUGGUACAUUGUAUGGAAAGUAUUCUUGUCAAGAUUUAAUUUUGUCCAGGAACUUUUAGGAAAGAAUGGUUCAGAAUCUAAAGAAGAAUUUUCUCCUGCCCCAAGGAAACCUAGAUCAAAAAUCAGGAGAGACUGAUAAUCCACUGAUUACAUUUAACAUGAACAGAAGUCAAAACAGAUUCAGCAUUUUUCUUCAUACAAUGAAAUUCCACAUGUUUGGUGCUUCAGUCAGAGUAAAAAAAUAAUGUUAAAUAGUUGCAGCUACGAUAUAUGCAGGAACAUAUCAUAGUUCUGAUCAGUCAGGGCUGUGACCGUAACAGGAAACUUUUAUAUGCAAACCAGGAGAAAAGUGCAAUAACUUAAUAGUGGCAUUUACAUGUUCAUUUUUGUAUGUAUGGUUGUCUUGUGCAUUUUGUAAAACUGAUAAAUGGAAGUAUAACCCAGAAGAUUAUACUACAAGUGUACUUAUUGUACUGUCAUGUUUGAAGACUGUUUUAUUCAGAACAUAAGUUAAGUUCUCACCUUCAAUUUAUCACAUUUUUAUAUGCCCGUCAAAAUUUUGACAGGAUGUAUUAUGGUAAACAAAUGUCCGUCUGUGUCCGGCAUAAACAUGUCGCACCAUAACUUGAAAAUGACUUAUCCAAAUUUUUAUAAUCCUUAAUAUAGUUGUUUUUUAUGAUGGUCCAAUGAUCUGUUUACUUUUUGGUGAAAAUAAGAUUUAAACUUUUUGAGUACCGCACUUUGUAACUAAAACAAGGGUGUGUUUUUUUCACAUGUUGCACCAUAUCUUAAAGACGAUUUAUUAUUGCUUAAAACAUUACACACUUCUUAGUUAUAUUAAUCUUAAGAUCUGUUAAGAAGGGGGUUUUCCCAAGUCCCGCUGUAUCUCAACAACAAUAUAUGGUUAUUGCCUAUAACUCUCUCAAAAACUAUUUAUGAAUAUUUCAAAAAUAUUCCACACAAGAUGAUGGGCCUAUUAUGUGCUUAUGGCGCAACUGUUUAUUAUUUUUAAUUUCAACGGCACAAGAGUACAUGUAAUGUACGGGUACCAGGAUCAUAAUAUGAAGAUUGGCAGGCAUAUACCUCAGUGUAAAUUAGAUGUCUAACUAGAAGAAGUUUACGUACUGUUAUAGAAAUUUAAUACAAAUAUCCAUGACAAAGAUUAGACUGAUAGUCAAUUAAUUUUAUCAAUCAUUUAUUGUACAUUUUCAAAAUUAUGUUUUAAAAAUUAUUCUCAGGAAUGAAAUCAUGAACAAAAUGUGUACUAGUAUGUCAGUUUGUAGUUUAAGUUGUGUAAUUCAUGCUGCCUCAUAUAUUUUAUUUUUUAAAUAUUUUUUUCAUGCAUAAGUAAACCAUUGUAUAUGCUGUAAGUAUGAAUACUUUGUAAUUAUAAAUAUAUAUACAUACAAAAUUGAUGAUAUGAGAUCUUACUUGAAUACAUUGGUUGUAUAAUUUAUAAUUCAGUGAUAAAAUAUGAAAAUAUACUUUUCUCAGUGUGUGAAAAGGGAUUUGAUAUAUAGUUUUUGCCAAAUUUUUUGUAAAUAUUUAUAUGCAUUCACAUAUAUGUGUAUUAUUCUAUACAUAUGCAAGAUAGUAAUGUAGAUCUCAAUUUAUGUCAAUAUCAUAUGCCUGAAUAAAAAAUCAAAGAAUUUUUAAUUUAGAAACCAGAAAUGCAAUUGAUUUUGUAAUAAGUUUCAAAUAUUCAAAUAGGUAAACCAUCCAUUUUUUGUUAGAGAUCAAAGUGUUCUCCAAAUUCUUUUACCAUUCAAAAAGAAAAUUGAGAGUGCAAAAAUUUCAAUUAUGAUGUUGCAGACUCACAAUGAUGUAACUACAUUUUUCAUGUAUAAAUCCUGUUAUUAUUGGAACAUUUAACCACACAUGUUCAUUUCAUGCAGUUUUUGAUUGAAUUAAAUUUAAGCAGCUGCACUUAUU